GUGCGGAAAAGGUUGUGUAGGGGUACCUGGGGUAAUAAGCACCGUUGAGGCAAGAUGCACCUGCUCUGAUUUACAAUGGAGAAACAUUUUAAUAACAAAAUCAUAAUUCUAUUAUUUGAAUUUAUGUUUUCUAUAGUCACCCUGUCAAUUUGGCAGCACUGCAAUGUCAGAAAAUGUAAAUUAACACAAAAACAAGUUUUCGCUGUAUGCGGACUAUUUUUUUGCUCUGCUGAUUUAAGUGUUUUGAAGCUAUUGAAUUGUUGUUUUUCACCAACGGCAAGUGUUAUUACAUCGAAUAAACGUCGAUCAACAUCUUUCGCAUAAAAUAUCGCAAUGGUCCGCUACUAUGUCCGGAGGUCCAAUCGGCGGUCUUGGACUGUUGAACAGCUACGAUCGGCGCUAGAGGCAACCAAAAACGGUAUUUCCAAAAAUCAUGCCGCUCGGGUGUACGGAAUUCCGAAGAAAACGCUCAUCCGCUACUUGAAAAAAUCCAACAAUUUAUCUUCGCUUCCACGUUUGGGAAGUUUCAAAUCAGUGUUUACCGACGAGCAGGAGCGGCAUCUAGUCAAUCGUAUUGUUAGCAUGAGUGAGUGUUAUUACGGAUUGACCCAAAGAGAUGUUAGAAGUUUGGCAUUUGAAUUGGCCGAAAUGAACCAGAUUUCACAUCCGUUCAGUCAGUCGGAAAAGUUAGCAGGUUAUGACUGGUUAAAAUGCUUUCUAAAACGCCAUCCAAAUCUUUCUUUACGGUCUGCGGAAAAUACUUCUUUGGCAAGAGCCACAGGAUUCAAUCGACACAGUGUGCGCAAAUAUUUUGAUCUUCUUGAGGGGAUCUGCGCCGACCAUCAAUACCCACCCCAAAGAAUUUGGAACAUGGAUGAAACGGGAUUUUCCACGGUUCAGACUAAGCUACCAAAAGUUUUAGCAAAAAAAGGGCAACAUCAAGUGGGAGCCAUUUCAUCCAGCGAAAGAGGUGUAAACACUACGGUGGUACUGGCCAUGUCUGCAUCUGGAGCAUAUUUACCACCAAUGUUCAUCUUCGCUAGGCACAGAAUGAAUGGUGCUCUCAAGGUCGGGCCCCUGAAGGAUCAGUGUUUACUUGUAAUCCUAGUGGUUGGAGUACAUUGACUACCUGUUCCAGCUGGUUCGACCACUUUUUAUCUCAUACUCGACCAUCUGUUGAUUCGCCAGUUUUACUCGAUGGCCACUCUACUCACACAAGAAAUUUGCAGAUGUUGGAAAAGACAAAAAAGAACUUUGUUCGAAUUAUUUCAAUUCCACCUCAUACAUCACAUAAGGUUCAACCAUUGGAUGUCGCCUUGAUGGGCCCGUUGAAAUCACAUUACGCCACAGCGAAUGGAAAUUUCUUGAAGAAAAACCCAGAAUUUUAGGAAAAACAAUCACUGCUUACAACGUCUGUGAACUAGUAAAUCACGCCUUUGUCAAAUCAGCGAGCAUGUCAUCUGCCCAAAAUGGAUUUCGUGCUACUGGAAUAUAUCCAUUUAAUCCUUCAGUAUUCAACGACAGUGACUUUGCUGUAGCGGAUUCGUUGACGUUGAUAAUGAAAAAAAAACUCUCAGGGCACAAAGGAGCCACUGAACUGGCAAGCUGCUGACGUUGAAGCUGUUGAUAUUCCAGCAGUGAGUGAAAUCAACGCAGAUGACUGUAACAUUGGUGUGCUAAAUGAUAGCCAAACCAUUGACCAGAUUGAUGCAAAUGAGUAUUAUGUUAUCCAGAGCAUCGGAGAAGUCAUCAUAGGCCCAGUUUCGAAACUCUCUUCUAUGACCUCGAAUUUAGAUCAAGUGGAUCAAAUUUCAAAUCGCUGUUUCAGUAUUACUGACGUCAACGGCAAUGUUAAUUUGAAACUAGCGCAAGCUACUAACUCGCUGCUAAUUGCCGUUCACAACGAUGAAAAAGCUCUAGUAAACAACGAAAUGCAGUUUGGUCCUACGGAUGGACAGGAAAACAUUCUACCAGUUCAGACAGAUACCAUUGGGACAAUUGACAAAGUAAAACGUAAACGAACUAUUAAACAAAAACAGUUACCUGGAUCAGCUGGUGAGGCAAAUAGUCGCCGGACCAAAAAAAAAAAAGCGUUGGGAUCAUAACGCCAGUCGAAAUACACCAAAACUGGAUAGUUUUACAAUUUCUCCUUCUUCAGUGGCCAAAAAGUUGGAAAAAACGCGUGGAUACAAGACGCAAGAAAGUUACUUCGAGAAAAGAAUAUGCUGCUGAGUUAACUUCCACACCCCAUCGCAAAAAAUUUAUCGAAACUAUUGCUUCGAAGGGCAUUAAAAAUAUACAGAGAACAGGGCGCAAGCGCGCUGGUCGUAAGGCAAAGGCUCUUGAAGAUGCUGAUGCUAUAGAUGAUAUCUUAUGUUUUAUUUGUGGGACUACUUUUUCGGUUUCAAUCAACGGCAAAGGAUGGUCGAAGUGUAUGCAA